rnacentral:rRNA from 1 species
AGCAGCCGCGGUAAUUCCAGCUCCAAUAGCGUAUAUUAAAGUUGUUGCAGUUAAAAAGCUCGUAGUUGAAUUUCGAGAUCAAUUUGUUGGUCGUGCCUCGGUACGUACUGGCAAUUUUGAUUUCUCCCUUCUGAAGAACCAUGAUGUCAUUAAUUUGGUGUCAUGGGGAAUCAGGACUGUUACUUUGAAAAAUUAGAGUGUUUAAAGCAGGCUCGCGCUUGAAUACAUUAGCAUGGAAUAAUGAAAUAGGACGUUUGAUUCUAUUUUGUUGGUUUCUAGGAUCGACGUAAUGAUUAAUAGGGAUAGUUGGGGGCAUUAGUAUUCAAUUGUCAGAGGUGAAAUUCUUGGAUUUAUUGAAGACUAACUACUGCGAAAGCAUUUGCCAAGGAUGUUUUCAUUAAUCAAGAACGAAAGUUAGGGGAUCGAAGAUGAUCAGA